AGAACUAGCGCGCGCUACUCUUAUAAUACAAUGUAAUAUAACAAGCCUAAGUAUUUUUUUUUUUUUUUAAAUGUGUGCGUUCAUAUCAGAGUGGACAGCUUAUGCCCAUAUCCAAAAAUGUUGCCUAGAUAGGCAGCUCGCAUGAUUCGUCGGUAAUAAGCGUAAUCAAGCUGUAUACUCUCAGAUGCGCUCACGAGGAUGUUUCUUCUGAGGAUAUUCUUGGCCGUAUCCCUUAUAACGUUACUUCUGUUUAUUUUUGUAACAUUGCACAGUGGAACCUGUAUUCUUAAGGUACAUUCGGGAAAUGAAUGGCGUAUUUGCGAAAUUCCUCUAAUCCUGUGUUUAAGGAGAAGUUUAUUCCAAACAUUCAGCUGUUUUAACAAAGUGAUCAUCUCAACAUGAGUGAGUGGAACUGACUUUAUCACUUCAACAACCCCCUUUGGCUAUAUGGGACUCAAUUACACAGCCAAAAAAGCAGCUGUUGACACCAUCCCUAAACUAGCAUCUACCCAGUUACUACAAGUACCCAUAAGAGCGAAGGAUGGCUGUAUUCGCUGUGCUAUUGUUGGGGAUGGCGAGAUUAUGUUAUGUUGUAUACAUCAGUAUAUCUUGUCAAAGGCCUCUUAAAGGGCUAAUUCACCCAAAAAUGAAUAUUACCCCAUCAUUUACUGACCCUCAAGCCAUCCUAGGUGUAUAUGACUUUCUACUUUCAGACAAAUACAG